CUCCGCGCCGCCGCCCAUCUCCUCUGCCACCAUGUCUCUCUGCCGGGCCGCCUCGCUGGCGCUGGCCUCCCGCCUGAGCAGGGCUCCCGCCGCCGCCAGCCGCCUCAAGCAGCGUGCACCUCCUCGCCAGAUGUCAUCUGGGAGUGUUCCUGGCUCUUCUGGAGACAGGAUGACGAUCUAUCUCCUUGCUGGUGUUGCAGCUUUUGGUGGUUUAUUUUAUCUUACUUCUACCCCUCUCCCCCAAGAUCUGAGAUAAUGACUAACAUACCCCAGAGAGGUACAUAUUUCCUUGUCCCACAGAGUAAUCCCCUUGAAUGGCCUACAGAGUAGUCAAUUCAUCCCACAGCAAGUUUAUCAAACAUACAAAUAUUCUUCAUGAGAGAGCAGAGGGGCAGAAGAACAAUCCUUGGUCAAGGAAGGAAGGUGAUGGAGAAGAGACAGAUGAAGUCACUGAAGCAGAGGCUGAGGAAGAGGCUGAUACAGCAGCUGCUGUUGAACCUUCAGCACAGGAUGAGAGUGCUGGACCCACAGCACAGGAUGAGACUUCCAGGGUAUCCGCAGAAGCUAAAGGGGAAAAUGACUUACUGGCUCCAGAGGUAUCCCAUGCUAUGGAGGAAGCACAGCAGGAAGCUGCUGCUAAUUCGGAAGCUGCUGCUAAUUUGGAACUUGCUGCUAAUUCAGAAGCUGCUGCAGUUGAAGGUUAA
rnacentral:lncRNA from 1 species